UUGUUUUCUCCGCCUAUAUACCGCCGUCGUCAGCUUACCCUGUGAAGGCCUAGCAGUAAGCAAAGUGGGCUCGCCCCAAAACGUCAGGUCGAGGUGUAGCGCACGAAGUGGGAAGAAAUGGGCUACAUUUUCUACAAUAGAAUAUUACGAAUGGCACCCUGAAACAAAUGCCUGAAGGUGGAUUUAGUAGUAAAAAGCAAAUAGAGUGUCCUUUUGAAUUAGGCUCUGAGACGCGCACACACCGCCCGUCACUCUCCCCUCACACAUCAAACUCAAACCAAACAUUCUUAAUUAAACAUUUAUCAGCACGGGGAGGCAAGUCGUAACAUGGUAAGUGUACCGGAAGGUGCACUUGGAAUAAC
rnacentral:rRNA from 1 species